rnacentral:rRNA from 1 species
ACUCCUACGGGAGGCAGCAGUGGGGAAUAUUGCACAAUGGGGGAAACCCUGAUGCAGCCAUGCCGCGUGUGUGAAGAAGGCCUUCGGGUUGUAAAGCACUUUCAGUAGGGAGGAAGGUAGUGUAGUUAACACCUGCACUAUUUGACGUUACCUACAGAAGAAGCACCGGCUAACUCCGUGCCAGCAGCCGCGGUAAUACGGAGGGUGCGAGCGUUAAUCGGAAUUACUGGGCGUAAAGCGCAUGCAGGCGGCCUGUUAAGUCAGAUGUGAAAGCCCGGGGCUUAACCUCGGAAUUGCAUUUGAAACUGGCAGGCUAGAGUCUUGUAGAGGGGGUAGAAUUUCAGGUGUAGCGGUGAAAUGCGUAGAGAUCUGAAGGAAUACCAGUGGCGAAGGCGGCCCCCUGGACAAAGACUGACGCUCAGAUGCGAAAGCGUGGGGAGCAAACAGGAUUAGAUACCCUGGGAG